GUAGCUUCCGGAAAGGAAAAGCGGUGGCGUGUGACCACUCACCAACCUCAACCUCAACCUCAACCUGACCCCUUGCUUAGCUGACGCCGUUAUCAGGUUAGCAGCUUAGCUAGCCCAACCCGACCCCUAGAUAGUAAUGUUGUGAUUGCCAUUCUUUAUCCAAUUAGUAGUACUGAUGCAGCCUGCCAGAAUCCAGCGGGCGAGAGUAACAACACCUGUGUCCAAAGCGGAAACGAGUGACGACGACUGGGCCCGUCUGCUUAGCUGACGUUGUUAUCCUGCUAUUAAUCAGUCCAACCCCCGCCAUCCCGGCCGGAUCAUCGGCGGCGGCGAGCGGCGUCCGUGAUGGUGAUGCAGACGGAGAUGGAGAUGGAGCGCAGGGCCUACGCGCGCGUGGGCCUCCUCGGCAACCCCAGCGACGUCUACGGCGGCCGCGCCGUCUCCUUCGCCGUCGCCGGCCUCUGGGCCACCGUCCGCCUCCGCCCCUCCGACCAGCUCCUCGUCCAGCCCCACCCGCGCCACGACCUCGUCGCCUUCCCCUCCCUCCACGCCCUCGUGGAUCGCCUGGACGGCGGCGGGUACUACGGCGGCGUGCGGCUGCUGCUGGCGAUCUGCAGGAUCUUCCACAACCACUGCAAGCACAACGGAAUCGCCCUGGAGGACAAGAACUUCACCCUGUCAUACGACACCAACAUUCCCCGCCAGGCAGGGCUCUCCGGCUCCAGCGCCAUCGUCUGCGCCGCGCUCAGCUGCCUCCUGGAUUUCUACGGCGUCAGGGACAAGAUCAGGGUCGAGGUCAGGCCCAACCUCAUCCUCAACGCCGAGAAGGAGCUCGGCAUCGUCGCCGGGCUUCAGGACCGCGUCGCGCAGGUCUACGGCGGCCUUGUUUACAUGGAUUUUAGCCAGGAGCAUAUGGAUAAGCUGGGCCAUGGAGUGUACACGCCGCUUGACGUUGAUCUGCUCCCCCCUCUGUAUCUCAUCUACGCCGAGAACCCGAGUGACUCUGGCAAGGUCCACAGCAGCGUCAGGCAAAGGUGGCUCGACGGAGACGAGUUCAUAAUAUCGUCGAUGAAAGAAGUCGCGCAGCUCGCGUAUGAUGGCCACAAUGUGUUGUUGCAGAAGAAUUAUACAGAGCUCGCGAGGCUUAUGAACAGGAACUUUGAUCUGCGGAGGCAAAUGUUUGGAGAUGACGCGCUUGGCGAGGUGAACAUAAAGAUGGUUGAGGUAGCGAGGAGCGUCGGUGCUGCGUCGAAGUUCACGGGCAGUGGUGGCGCGGUGGUGGCUCUGUGCCCAGAUGGGGACGCACAGGCAGAGCUCCUGAAGGCCGCGUGCCAGCAGGCCGGCUUCGCCGUGGAGCCGAUUGAAGUCGCCCCGUCGGCCCUGACAGAGGAGCCGAUCAAAGUCACUCCAUCGCAGCUCACGGAGGAAGAGCUGAAAUUUGUUAUGGGGUAGAUAAAAGCAGUGGAAGUAUGCAAUUUGUUGUCACCACAGGAGUGUUCAUUUUCUUCUUCGCUCAAGUCAUCACAGGAUCACAGGAGUUUUUCAUGUUGUUUUAUACUCCCUUUGUAAAGUAAGACCCUUUAGAUCCCUAAAAGACCUUUUUAGAUCACUACUUUAGGGAUGUAAAAGGUACGCCCUCCGUUCCUUUGAACUAAAACCAUGACGAGUAAAUUGGAACGGAGGGAGUAUUAUAUUACAUCUACAGAGGUAUACUUUUGUGCUUGUGUGGUGUAAGUGUUACACUGACGUAUUAUCAUGCUGAUGCAUGCAAAAUAAAAGGUUCCUUUUCUUACCGAUG
rnacentral:rRNA from 1 species